GUCAUUCAUGAGAGUUGGAGAAAGGCCAUGGAAGUUGAACUAAAAGCUACGGAGGCUAACAAUACAUGGAACAUUGUUCCAUUACCAAUCGAUAAGAAUAUUGUAGGAUGCCAAUGGAUAUAUAAAAUUAAGCAUAAAGUUGAUGGGACCGUUGAACAUUAUAAAGCAAGGCUUGUUGCUAAAGGGUAUAGACAACAUGAAGGUCUUGACUAUUUUGAAACCUUCUCUUUGGUAGCCAAAAUGGUUACUGUCAAAACUCUGUUGACUAUAGCAGUAUCAAAGGAUUGACACCUAGUUUAAUUACAUGUGAAUAAUGCUUUUGUUCAUGGAGACUUGAUUGAAGAAGUAUACAUAGAUAUGGCUCUUGGUUAUGAACCAAAGUUUGCCAUUCAGGGGGAGAAAAUGGUGUGCAAAAUUUUCACAUUUCCUCACUUCACUUGGUUGUCAACAGUCGAAGGCAGAUUACUCCCUAUUCGUAAAAGGCUAAGGUACUGAUUUUCUUGCAUUACUUGUCUAUGUUUAUGAUACUAUUAUUAGGGGAGCAAAUAUUAGUCUUAUCUGAAGCUUACAAAGCAUGCUCAAACAUAAGUUCUUACUUAAAGAUUUGAGGUCUCUCAAGUUCUUUCUUGGGCUUGAGUUAGCUCGGUCAUCAACUGGUAUUUAAUUUCUUUAUCACAAAGAUACUACACACUACGAUUAUUAGAAGAUGUUAGAUUGCUUGGUGCCAAACCAGUAAUAGUGCCAAUGGAUCCCUACAAUUAAACUAAAGAAUGCUGAGAAAAACUUCUUUCAAGACCCAACUGCAUAUCAGAGGCUUAUAGGUAAGUUACUAUACUUGACUAUUUCAAUGCCUGAUAUUACUUUUGGAGUACAUAAACUUAGUCAGUUCAUGGCACAUCCGGAUAGAACCCAUAUGAAUGCAGCAAACCACCUAUUAAGGUACAUCAAAGGGUCUUCAGGCCAAGGAAUUUUCUUGUCCAAGACAGAUGCUUUAUCUAUAAAAGCUUUUGUAGAUGCAAAUUGGGGAUCUUGUCCAGAUACUUGCCCUUCAUUCAGUGGUUUUUGUGUUUUCCUUCGCAAGUCUUUAAUUUCAUGAAAGUUAAAGAAAUAGCAAAGUGUUUCACAUUCAUCAGCUGAGGGAGAGUAUCGAGCAUUAGCAACAGUUACUUGUGAAGUCAUAUGGCUCAAGAGUUUGCUCAAAGAACUUCAGAUUUCAUUAGCCACACUAGCUUUUGUUUUUUGUGACAACCAAGCUGCCAUUUAUAUCGCUAACAAUCCCUUAUUUAAUUGAAGGACCAAACAUAUAGAACUUGACUGUCAUUUUGUUCGAGAUAAAGUAAUUGAUGGAUCCAUUAAACUGCUUCUUAUACGGUCGUCGAAUCAGCUUGUAGAUGCACUCACCAAGCCUCUAAAUUCCAAUACUUUGUCUCUUCAUUUACACGAGAUGGGAGUAAAAGAUAUAUACUCUCAAUCUCGAGGGAGAUUAUUAGAAGUAAUGUUGUUAAAAGAGUUUCUCUUAUUAGUUGUUACUAUUAGUUGUUAGUUGUUACUGUUAGUUACAUUCAAGUUAUCAACGAUAUCUAUAGAAAGUAUUAUAAAUAUCACUCUUUGUUAGUGAAUAAAAUAAGUGAAAGUAUGCUAUAGAAUAUGUACAAUAACUAGUUUGUUUAGGUUUGUUGAGAAAAUAUUAAUUAAAGGGUUAAUUUUUCUUUAUAUGUCAUAUAUAAUUCCAGGUUAUGUAAGUCCAAAAGUUGAGUGAUCACUAUUUUAGGUUGAAAUUUUGUAGGGCAUAACACUAUAAAUCAACAUUCAACGUACAAAUUUGAAACUAUAAAUAGUUGACAAUGCUUACUACUCUCCCUCUAAAUAAGGGUUCUAGAAAGCUACAAUCGUUUCUUUAAUUUCUCAAACAGAUGUUAUAACCGUUUUUACACCAUUCAUUUUGGAAUGUUGCCAACGAUGAUGAUUUAAAUCCUUUUUUAGCCAUUACAAUCACGUAUGAUUUCUCUUUAUAUAUUAAAGUUCGUCUUCCUUUCUCUCAAAUCAAACAAGUUCUUGCUUUAAAAGUCUAUUUGUUACACACCUGCAUCCCUGCUAACAAAUCACCACACAAAACAAUACCUAAAGAAUAGAUAUGGUGAAUGGAAUGCAAAAUUGUAUUGAAUUAGCACCAAUAAUUACUGUUUCACGUAAAAGGUGUUCAAGCUCCCCCAAAUUAGACACCAUUGUUGAAGAAUACCCCAAGUCUUUUGGGGUUUUAAAAAGGAGAAUUUUGUUUGUUCUUCCAAUUUUGUUCUCUUUUAUAUCUUAUGUCAUUUUGUUUAGGCAAUAUUAAUAUUAGUCUAAAGAAUAUUUGCUAUUUUCAUUUGGCUUUUGUGGUAUUCAAUUUUACCUUAGUUUGCAACUCAACCUUGAAGUUAUUAUGAAAUUGUCCCUAGUAUGCAAUUCAUUUAAAUUUUAAAACAUGAAACUACACCCAAAGUUAUAAAUAUGCAAAAAAAAAUUAGACAAGUUUUACAACAUUCGACAAAUUUCUAAAAAAUCGAGGGACCUUUACAUGAUCAUAUUAAAAAAAUUGUAAAUCUGUGGUCAACUUUUACAAAAUUUUACAAAAAACAUCCCAUUGCAAACCAUAUUCAUAAUGCAAAAAUCCCACCUAACUAAUGCAAAAUUUAAAAUUUGUAAUUAAAACUUGAGAUGACUUUGAUACCAAUUGAAGGGAUAGGCCCUUGGUAGCUGAAGAUUUUACUGAAUCAUUUCUCCAUUUAAUUUAGAAAUUCCAAACUACAGUACAUUGACAAAAAUAAUUAAGAAACUAAUUUUCUUAUUCAGCAUGCUUUAAUAAAAUAUAGAUUAGAAAAAGAAAAACUUACAUAGUUUGACGUCUCUGAAUCUACCAAAUCUCAAAAUUUGGUACACUAUCUAUCAGAGACCAUUCGUAUUCUCUAGAAUGAAAUUGGUUUAUGAGAACCAAUUAGGAUGAAAAAAUAUUUUUUCAGAUAGCAAAA
rnacentral:lncRNA from 1 species